rnacentral:RNase_P_RNA from 3 species
CGAGUUGGCCGGGCGGCCGCGGCGCGCGGGCCGAUCCGAUGGGGGAUCGGGUUGGUGCGGGCGUCGAGGAAAGUCCGGACUUCACAGAGCGGGGUGAUUGUUAACAGCAAUCCGAGGUGACUCGCGGGAUAGUGCCACAGAAAACAGACCGCCACUUCGGUGGUAAGGGUGAAACGGUGCGGUAAGAGCGCACCAGCAUCCCGGGUGACCGGGGUGGCUCGGUAAACCCCACCCGAAGCAAGGCCAAGAAGACCGCAGUGGGGGUGUGGUCGCGCAGGCGUUUGAGGGUUGCUCGCCCGAGCCUGCGGGUAGGCCGCUUGAGGCACCCGGUGACGGUGUGUCCAGAUGGAUGGUCGCCGCCGCGCCGGUAUCGGCGCGGAACAGAAUCCGGCUUACAGGCCAGCUCGUCCG